GAUGAACGCUGGCGGCGUGCCUAAUACAUGCAAGUCGAGCGAACAGACGAGGAGCUUGCUCCUCUGACGUUAGCGGCGGACGGGUGAGUAACACGUGGAUAACCUACCUAUAAGACUGGGAUAACUUCGGGAAACCGGAGCUAAUACCGGAUAAUAUAUUGAACCGCAUGGUUCAAUAGUGAAAGACGGUUUUGCUGUCACUUAUAGAUGGAUCCGCGCCGCAUUAGCUAGUUGGUAGGGUAACGGCUUACCAAGGCGACGAUGCGUAGCCGACGUGAGAGGGGGAUCGGCCACACGGGAAGGGAGACACGGUCCAGAGUCCUACGGGAGGGAGCAGUAGGGAAUCGGCCGCAAUGGGCGAGAGCCUGACGGAGCGACGCGGCGUGAGUGAUGAAGGUCUUCGGAGCGUAAAGCUCUGUUAUUAGGGAAGAACAAAUGUGUAAGUAACUGUGCACGGCGUGACGGUACCUAAUCAGAAAGCCACGGCUAACUACGUG
rnacentral:rRNA from 1 species